GACGAACGCUGGCGGCGUGCUUAACACAUGCAAGUCGAACGGAAAGGCCCUGCUUUUGUGGGCUGCUCGAGUGGCGAACGGGUGAGUAACACGUGAGUAACCUGCCCUUGACUUUGGGAUAACUUCAGGAAACUGGGGCUAAUACCGGAUAGGAGCUCCUGCUGCAUGGUGGGGGUUGGAAAGUUUCGGCGGUUGGGGAUGGACUCGCGGCUUAUCAGCUUGUUGGUGGGGUAGUGGCUUACCAAGGCUUUGACGGGUAGCCGGCCUGAGAGGGUGACCGGCCACAUUGGGACUGAGAGACGGCCCAGACUCCUACGGGAGGCAGCAGUGGGGAAUAUUGCACAAUGGGCGGAAGCCUGAUGCAGCAACGCCGCGUGCGGGAUGACGGCCUUCGGGUUGUAAACCGCUUUCGCCUGUGACGAAGCGUGAGUGACGGUAAUGGGUAAAGAAGCACCGGCUAACUACGUG
rnacentral:rRNA from 1 species